CCUUGAGAUGAAUAAUUGAUUAGCGUUGAAAGAUUCCUGAUCCGCAGAGACCUUCAAUCUAAAUUUCGCCAGCAUAUGCAUUCACGCUCACCAGAACAACACAAGAACCGACCACAAUCUUUAAUUCUAUUGUCACCAAGGGAUUUUCGCUACUUGAUGCAAGAAAUAAAAGUAUGUGCAAUAUCAACUUGUACUCGAACUAUCACUGGUUCGGUCAAGUUCGCAUUUGGUCGAUCGAGAGGCCAGACAAAAGAGUCUUUCUGCAUGCUCCAAAGAGUGCUCAAAAUUGUAGCGAUCUAACAACGCUGGGGUCCGAGGCUAACGAGAGACGAGCCAUUAACAUGUCGUUAAAACCCCAGGCAACUUAGGUCUUUCACACGUUUAAAACCACGGAAACGUUAGACGAAUCAAAGAAUUUAUUAGCGGACGACAGAAUGCUCUGUCGUUCUGUGGUAUAUCAUUAUCUGAUAAUUUUCGACGCGAUCGCUAAACGUUUACACAGCUCGCUAACUACAAAAUAAACAAUCCUUGCAAGCACCAACAAAAUCACGUUCCAAUCUGGAAAGAAACAAGGACUACGUAAUGAAAUUCGACGCGAAGUCGCUGCCCUUCCACGGGCAAAAGUUAUAAUUCUGCGGUGCAAAAUUAUUCACACGAUCGACCUUGCGGCUAAAGUGAAUUGGAAUCAUUUGUGCGAUAAAUCAACAAGCAACUUUCCUUGAAAAGAAGUAAUUUGAAGGGACGGGGCAAAUCCAUUGUCCGACUAAGAUAACGCCUUUAUGCGCCAAUUCGAAAUUUACCCUUUUCAUACGCGAAAAGAAACCACUACAUCUUUUGUAUUCUUUUCAAACGCGUAUCCUUUAGGCUCGGCAAUACAUCAUGUACAGUGAUAAACAUCGCCAUAAAACCACACAUUAGCAAAUUUGCCAGCGGCCGGAUAAACCCUAAGUGAACGAUUUUGAUAUAAACAUAUCGCAGAUCACUGCAUGUCAAGGAAAAUAUUUUGCCUAAGAUAGCUCGUUUCCACAGGGAGGAAGUUUGACCACGCAAAUGGAUUCCAUACGGUACAUCGCCCGAACCUUCAAUCCGUGGUAAUCUUUUCCAUCCAUGACUAUUCACCUUCUGUUAUCAGUAUAUAUCAUCUCGACACCUUUCUCUAGAAAUUUCCAUUACUGCUGACAAAGAGAACCCGUUAUUUGAUUCAGCAGAGAUUCUAGGGGAGUACUCACCAUAAUAGUAAAAUGAAACAACAUUUGGCUAUCAAAACAAUUUAAGAAAAUGAGUCGACGAGUAGUCGAGAAAAUCAACCUUCUUUGGAACAUUCAUAUGUAGCAAAAAAAAAAAAAAA